AUCCAGAGCUACAGACUGCGGUAUAUGGAGGUGGGCACUGACCAGUGGGUGUACCACUCGGUACCGGUGCCGGCCAACGCCACGUCGUUCGUGGUAGACAGCCUGAAGCCGAACCGGGGGCUACAGGGUUCAGCUGACUGCCGUCAACGCUGUGGGCUCUAGUGAGGCAGCCGAGCGAGGCCAGGACGGCCGCCUCAUCACGCAGGAGCGCGAUCCCACGUACAAGCCGGUGCUGUCGGUGAAGGCGGCCACCACCGAGUCGCUGACGCUCAGCUGGUCCCAGCCGUCGCCCGAUGUGGCGCCGUUCAUCCAGUCUUACCGGCUGAUGCGCACCGACGGCGAGGACCGCAGCAACGUGGAGGAGCUGGUGGUGUUCCACCCGACGACGCUGUUCCUGUGGCCAGAUCUCAGGGCCGGCCGUACCUACAACAUCUCCGUGCGCGCCUGUAACGACUUGGUGCCGCUAUGCGGUCC